UAAAAACCCCGACUUCGGAAGGGGUGUAUUUAUUAGAUACAAAACCAAUGCCCUUCGGGGCUCUUUGGUGAUUCAUGAUAACUAUACGAAUCGCACGGCCUUGCGCCGGCGAUGGUUCAUUCAAAUUUCUUCCCUAUCAACUUUCGAUGUUUGGGUAUUGGCCAAACAUGGUUGCAACGGGUAACGGAGGGUUAGGGCUCGACCCCGGAGAAGGAGCCUGAGAAACGGCUACUACAUCCAAGGAAGGCAGCAGGCGCGCAAAUUACCCAAUCCCGACUCGGGGAGGUAGUGACAAUAAAUACUGAUACAGGGCCCUUUCGGGCCUUGUAAUUGGAAUGAGUACAAUUUAAAUCCCUUAACGAGGAACAAUUGGAGGGCAAGUCUGGUGCCAGCAGCCGCGGUAAUUCCAGCUCCAAUAGCGUAUAUUAAAGUUGUUGUGGUUAAAAAGCUCGUAGUUGAACCCUGGGCCUGGCUGGCCGGUCCGCCUCACCGCGUGCACUGGUCCGGCCGGGCCUUUCCCUCUGUGGAACCCCAUACCCUUCACUGGGCGUGGCGGGGAAACAGGACAUUUACUUU
rnacentral:rRNA from 1 species